rnacentral:rRNA from 1 species
UGCGCAGGCGGGAAAUUAAGUCAGUGGUGAAAGCCCCGAGCUCAACUUGGGAACUGCCAUUGAUACUGAUUUUCUUGAAUAUAGUUGAGGUAGGCGGAAUACAACAUGUAGCGGUGAAAUGCAUAGAUAUGUUGUAGAACACCAAUUGCGAAGGCAGCUUACUAAACUAUUAUUGACGCUGAGGCACGAAAGCGUGGGGAGCGAACAGGAUUAGAUACCCUGGUAGUCC